rnacentral:rRNA from 1 species
UUGCUUUCUUUGCUGGCGACCGGCGCACGGGUGAGUAACACGUAUCCAACCUGCCUUUACUCGGGGAUAGCCUUUCGAAAGAAAGAUUAAUACCCGAUAGCAUAAUGAUUCCGCAUGGUUUCAUUAUUAAAGGAUUCCGGUAAAGGAUGGGGAUGCGUUCCAUUAGGUUGUUGGUGGGGUAACGGCCCACCAAGCCUUCGAUGGAUAGGGGUUCUGAGAGGAAGGUCCCCCACAUUGGAACUGAGACACGGUCCAA